GACGAACGCUGGCGGCGUGCUUAACACACGCAAGUCGAACGGAAAGGCCCUGCUUUUGUGGGGUGCUCGAGUGGCGAACGGGUGAGUAACACGUGAGUAACCUGCCCUUGACUUUGGGAUAACUUCAGGAAACUGGGGCUAAUACCGGAUAGGAGCUCCUGCUGCAUGGUGGGGGUUGGAAAGUUUCGGCGGUUGGGGAUGGACUCACGGCUUAUCAGCUUGUUGGUGGGGUAGUGGCUUACCAAGGCUUUGACGGGUAGCCGGCCUGAGAGGGUGACCGGCCACAUUGGGACUGAGAUACGGCCCAGACUCCUACGGGAGGCAGCAGUGGGGAAUAUUGCACAAUGGGCGGAAGCCUGAUGCAGCAACGCCGCGUGCGGGAUGACGGCCUUCGGGUUGUAAACCGCUUUCGCCUGUGACGAAGCGUGAGUGACGGUAAUGGGUAAAGAAGCACCGGCUAACUACGUG
rnacentral:rRNA from 1 species